AUUUAUAUAGUUUAAAUAAAACAGUAUAUUUUCAAUAUAAAAUUGGUUACUCCUAUAAAUA
rnacentral:tRNA from 1 species